GACGAACGCUGGCGGCGUGCUUAACACGUGCGAGUCGAACGGAAAGGCCCAGCUUGCUGGGUGCUCGAGUGGCGAACGGGUGAGUAACACGUGGGUGAUCUGCCCCUAACUUCGGGAUAAGCUUGGGAAACUGGGUCUAAUACCGGAUAGGACAAUCGUUUAGUGUCGGUUGUGGAAAGUUUUUUCGGUUAGGGAUGAGCCCGCGGCCUAUCAGCUUGUUGGUGGGGUAAUGGCCUACCAAGGCGUCGACGGGUAGCCGGCCUGAGAGGGUGGACGGCCACAUUGGGACUGAGAUACGGCCCAGACUCCUACGGGAGGCAGCAGUGGGGAAUAUUGCACAAUGGGCGCAAGCCUGAUGCAGCGACGCCGCGUGGGGGAUGACGGCCUUCGGGUUGUAAACCUCUUUCGACAGGGACGAAGCUUUGGUGACGGUACCUGUAUAAGAAGCACCGGCUAACUACGUG
rnacentral:rRNA from 1 species